AGCAAAUGGCCAAUCUGUUGAUUUGGCCAUUUCAUGCAGAACAAUAUAACAAUAACAAAAUUCCAAGCUCUUGCAAAUAUUGCAGAGGUUUCUUUGAAUUUGCAUUAAUUAUUGCGAUUGCAAAAUCACAGUUUCCUGAAGGGACUGUAAGGUGCAUCGUAACUUGGUUUCAUUCAUAUUCAUAAAAUUCACCAACACUCUUGUCUAAAGUCAAUUUUCCAACAUUUCAGCUGUGAUCUCUGCUGUCUGAAAACUUCUCGUGUUCACUCCUCUUUGAACUGACAUGUCUGAACUGCUGGUCUCACCGAUGGCACAUAGCCUGUAUAUAAAGAUGGACGUAGCAAAGUAUGACAUCACCUGUUAGUUUCAUUGGAGCCAUUUGAAGCCCUGAGUUGCAGCUUAUGGUCAGUGCCAUUUUCUACCUUGGACUGGAGCUAACGCUAGCUUACUGGGAACACCAAGCGAUGCACACCUGGGCUAAAGUAAAGGAGUAAUACUCAACGAAGGACCUCACAUUUACAGUAAUACCAGUAUGUUGUCAAGGAGCAAUCAGCUGCUUCUCAUCCUCCACUUCAUACCUGGAUUGUUUGCCUUUGUUCAUUUGUUAAGCAGCAGCCUUCAUCUCACACAGUAACAGAGAAGUGUCCAUCCCAUCUCUGCUUGACCUCUCACAUCAAUCUUCUCUCCAUUACACUCAGAUCGAGGUCAAUCUCUCCGCAGGCUCAGCGGUGGAUGACGAACCGCCAGCCUCAUUUUCUCAUUUGUGUCAAGUCUCAGCACGCAGUCGUCACGCUCAGUGAGUGUCUCCAUGAUUUAAAAAGCUUUGGAAUAAUUCAUUUGCUCAAGAACUCUUCAACGGUCAUCCAAAGUGCAACUGAGGAGAAAGCAAUCAGCAGAGCGACUCUGGGAAGAUUGUCCUUGACUUCACUGUUACUAGACAACAAAGACUAUGCGGCAAGAGGCUUCGGUCUCUGUCAAUAUGAGAACUGACACUCGCAACCUCGAGUGUGUGUGUCCUGAUUUUGUCUUUAUCUCAGCUGCUCCUGACCUCCUCACUCCACUAAAUUGAGGCCGCUCGGGCCAGGUGAGGCUCUUUUUUUUUUUACAGCCCUGGUUCAGCUUUUAUCACACUGUUCUGUGGUUUUUAUGAGUUGUCUCUUUAAGAGAAAAUGUCACUGAGGUAAUUCUCAAUGUGCUGACACAGACAUCUAAUAAACAUUUAGCCUGGUUUAAUCUUUUCUAUCACAGGUGCUUUAAAGGGCUAAACUCCACAUCAUCAUGAGACUACACUGAAUUCGAUUUCCCACAGGUUGGGGUUUUAAUCUCAAGCCCACCAGUUGAGCCUGGCCCAAAAGAUACGGGAAAUAAGAUAAGUGAAUAGACGACAAUGAUGGCAGGUAGUACAAAUUGUUAAGAUAAAAAAAGGACAGAUGAUGUUUGAAGGAUUUUACAGCAACAAAAGGGUUAGAGCUCAUUCACCAUUGCUGCUGUGUAUCACAGAAUAAAUCCAGUCUUAUCAAAGGUCUAUUUUUAAAAAAGGGAAAAAGCUCCAACAUUCAGCUCGAAGAUAUACAUGAUACUGACAUGUUGGCUGGUGUUCAUAUCACCAGCAGAUAUGCCCGGUAGCGUCAACAUGUUGAGAAAUACACCUGUUCACACUUGCAUGAAAAGAUUGACACAACUCUCAUGUCUGUACAAGCUAGUUGGCUAGUUUAGCACAAAAACUGGAAACAGGAGGAAACAGCUACCUUGGCUCUGUCCAGCAGGAAUAAAAUCCACAUCUCUACAUUCACUUAACAUGCUGUAUCUUGUUGGUUUAAUCCAUAAAACAGCCAAAGUGUAAAAACAACAAUUUGCUGGUUUAUGGGGGAUUAUGUGCCAGACUGAUUUCUUGGCUGUAACUUCUCUGCUGGUCGCCAAGAAAUAUUUUGGCACAUAACCCCCUGCAGCAAUGUGUUGUUUCUACGCAUCAGUUUUUGUACUGAUUAAACAAAUGAGACACAACAUAUGUAACGUGUGUAAAAAAGCGCCGCCCCCCCAAACAAUAGCAUGACAAAUGCUGUCAGGUGUCAAAGUUCAGUCUUGAAAUUAGUCGUCUUACAAAAAACUUUAAAUUAGAUUUUCCCAAAGUAUUUAACCACAUCUGUUUGAGCAACUUUAUCUGCUGAUGUACACUGUGAGAUGUGGCUGAAAUCUCCAUAAAAAGCUAGUUGUCCUCAUUUGUUUGAGUUGUUCUCCCUCUGAUUUGUUCCACUUUGCCUCAUCCACCAUCCACCAUACCUCUUAGGCCAAGAAGCCUUUUUUUGAGUUAUCUAUCCCUCUAUUUUAGGUUGCCCUCACUUGUGUGAGGAGUUGUUCUCCUGCCGAUUUGUUCCAGUGUGCCUCACCCAAGGUCGUCUUUCGCACGGUGAAAUCCCCCCCGGGAGAUUUUGAUGGAGGCCAAAAGGUGUGAGAUGUCAAUUGAGAUGCAGGGGAUGCAGGGGAACACCGCUUUGUUUUAUGAAUGCACAUUACUUUGAGAGUAAGGCCUGUCCUUCAGCUGCUCCCGGGAGAGUUGAAGAGAGGGUCGGUGGACAGCGAGAGAGGAAACAAGCAACGAUCUCCAGAUAAACAAGGAAACACAUUUAACUGUACGUGUGUCAUCAUCUACAGUGUCGUAACAUACUGAUCAUUGACGGAAUACAUAUCGCGAUAUAGCACAUUUUCUGUAAAUUCAAUGAAUAUUUUAUAUAAAAUGACCACAUUGAAAGGCCUAUUUCUUGUUACAUUUUGAAUUAAAAGGUACAUACUCAUAUUUGAUUAUUUUCUCCUUUUUAUUUAGAACCUUUGUGCAAAUUUUCAAUUAAGCAUGUAUAAAAUAUAAAAAGGUAAAUAGGAAACACUUUUCAACUGUAGUUGCAAACACUAAAAUGUGAACAUGGUCAAAAAUAUCAUUGGGCUACUCAGAAAUACCUUCAGUUUGUAUGUGAGUUGUACUGUACAUGUUUUAGAACAGUUUUUUUAUGAAAAAAAUGUGUUUUCCCACAUCAGCCUCCAGUUCCAAAGCUGUUCUUCUUUACACCAGCAGGACUUUACAUGUAUGCAAAUUAUUUAGGCAUGAGUGUGUCUGAGUGCUGACAUCUGUAUUAAUUUGCAGAGCUCAGACGUCAAUGAAUCUGUUAUCUUCUAAAAAUUUUUAUCUCUGCUCUGUCUUUCUUGUUAGCGGAGAACAGUUGCCUGCUGCCACAUAUAUCACAGCUCACCUGAAAGCUGUGUAAAGUCAAUUUUAUAUAGCCUCAUAUCACCAAAAAAAAACAGAUUUGCCUGAACAGUCUGAACAGCAUUUGACAACCUCUAUCCUUAGACUCUCAAUUCAGAUAAAGAAAACCUCAGGAAGAGGAGGAAUCCCUCUUCCAGGACAGUCAGGAAAUAGAUUUGUGUACAGAAUAAACUAAGAAAGCAAAAUGACAAUAUGGAAAAUCAGGAUGACAAAAUUAUAGAUGGAAGAUACUGCAUGAGGUGAAUUUGAGUCAAAAAUUAUACUCAUUCUCAGAGUCAUAACUCAAACAUGAAGCACAUAUUGAUAUCAGAUUCGGUAUGACUUACACAUCCCCAGGAUAUCAUUAUUUCCUCCAUAAAUCCAUUUAAAAACCAGAGAAAAAAGAGGCAGCAGAACUUGCCUGAGAAUCAUCAUAUUUUUAAGUUU